rnacentral:misc_RNA from 1 species
AGAAUAUCAUCUCCUCGUUGAAUGUAGUAUAGAAGUAGAGAACAUAGAAUAGUAUCAUCUCAAGAAGUUAAUGGUAAAACCAUUUUUAGCUUAAAAAGGAGGAAAAUAUGUUGCAGCUGUUUUGAAUUUUUUGAUGUACUCUUGGGAUGUUAUAAUGGAGAAAAAGGAGUUUAUUGCUGACCUUAACUAAUUCAUGUUAAAGUCUGGUUGAGUUGAGUACAUACAUACUGACACCUAAAAGUCGGCAGCAUUUCUAUGGAUGCCUUUUCUGAUGAAAAAUUUGCAGUUAAGAUUUUGCUUAUUCUUUGGCCUAGGUCCUGAAAAUCUGUACUGCAGGAUCAUUGUGAUGAAAAACAAAACCAAGAGAACAAAAACACAAGUAACCGCUUGUCUUAGAACUUGAAUCAUUUGCAAUCAAUCAUAGUAAAUCUUCAAAAUUUAAUAAUUAUAAAACUACAUAUUUCUCAUGGUAAUUCUAAAUAUUGAUCCUAAAUCUUAAACUUUACAUAAAAUAAUUGAAUGGAAAUAGUUUCCAAUAUCAUUUUCUUGUCUGCACCACAUUGUAUCAAGAAUAUCUCUCUCUCACUCCCCCUGCACAGAUACCCAGUCCACUCAAGUUUCACCUGACAUGAGUAUUGUGUGUUAAGCAUCAUGUUUUACAUAUUUUGACUAAAUUCAUCUCUGCCAAACCUCAGAGCUUCGCGGGAUAGAUCAUACAAUUUUGAUGAGGGCAUUGAAACUACUAGAACAAAAAGGGAAGCUUGCAAUCUUUAAAGGAAGUUCAACC